rnacentral:lncRNA from 1 species
UUAUAUGCAUUUAAUUGCUUCCAUGAUUAUGGGCCCAUAAUUGUGUGAGUUUUGGUGGUUUGUUUCAUCUAUUCGAAAGAAGAGGAAUAAAUUUGACAAGGUAUAAAUCAUCGUAGGGUCCAAUUGGGGAUAGAAAUAUACCCCUAUACCUUGCGUGAAUCUCUAAGUACUCACAAAACUACAUGCAUUCUCGUAUAUUUGCAUCUGUCAUAGAGAUAUAGGCUAGUGGUGUAUGAGAAUAGGUUCAAUUCAUCUCGAGAGAGAGUAUUGGAUAGAUUUAGGAGUAUUGAUUCUUCAAAAUGUCAUCGUGUUGUCAAAGUGUGGAAUUAAGAUUAAAUAGAACAUUACUUGGGAAUUCGUGAUUCUAGUAUAUCUCACAUUCAUUGAAUACAUUUAACAUGAGUCCCAAUUAUCAAACUGCAUUUUCGUUAAAUUAAACGUUGUUUUGCAUAGCAUACCAUCCAAUUCAUAACAUUGGUACUCUAGCUUAGAUUUAGGAUUUCCUAGGAUAAAAACUCAUAAUUGAUCAUUUAGAUUCGGUUAAGGCAGAGAUAAGUACAAUUAAAUUACUCAAUCUCUGUGGGACGAUAUCCGGACUCUAAAAAUUCACUUUAUUACUUGUUAACGAAUUGUACACUUGCGGUGAUUUAAAUCGAAAU